rnacentral:rRNA from 1 species
ACGGGUGAGUAACACGUGGGUAACCUGCCCUGUACUCUGGGAUAAGCCCGGGAAACUGGGUCUAAUACCGGAUACGACCACCGAGGGCAUCUUUGGUGGUGGAAAGUUCCGGCGGUAUGGGAUGGACCCGCGGCCUAUCAGCUUGUUGGUGGGGUAAUGGCCUACCAAGGCGACGACGGGUAACCGGCCUGAGAGGGUGACCGGCCACACUGGGACUGAGACACGGCCCAGACUCCUACGGGAGGCAGCAGUAGGGAAUAUUGCACAAUGGGCGAAAGCCUGAUGCAGCGACGCCGCGUGAGGGAUGACGGCCUUCGGGUUGUAAACCUCUUUCAGCAGGGACGAAGCGCAAGUGACGGUACCUGCAGAAGAAGCACCGGCUAACUACGUGCCAGCAGCCGCGGUAAUACGUAGGGUGCGAGCGUUGUCCGGAAUUAUUGGGCGUAAAGAGCUCGUAGGCGGUUUGUCGCGUCGGCCGUGAAAACUUGGGGCUUAACCCCGAGCCUGCGGUCGAUACGGGCAGACUUGAGUUCGGCAGGGGAGACUGGAAUUCCUGGUGUAGCGGUGAAAUGCGCAGA